rnacentral:rRNA from 1 species
UACGGAGGAUGCAAGCGUUAUCCGGAUUCAUUGGGUUUAAAGGAUGCGUAGGCGGACUAUUAAGUCAGUGGUGAAAGCCUGCAGCUUAACUGCAGAACUGCCAUUGAUACUGAUAGUCUUGAGUUUGGUUAAGGUAGGCGGAAUGUGUAAUGUAGCGGUGAAAUGCUUAGAUAUUACACAGAACACCAAUUGCGUAGGCAGCUUACUGAGCCGACACUGACGCUGAGGCACGAAAGCGUGGGGAUCGAA